AUGCUUGAGUCCUUGAUAGUUUACAAUUUACAGUUCUUACUAUGUCGUGACUCUGUGGUGGGAUCACAAACUGAACUGAGUGGGUUCUCCUGGCUCCUGCACCUGGGUGGACCCAGCUGUUGCAGCUGCCUGUGGACAGGCCAGGGGUGGGAGUGGGGGAGGGCAGUUGGUAGGCACUUCAGGUGGAUGAUUUGGUUCAUGACUUGUGCUUUUUCUUGUUUUGCCUGCAGAUGGCAGCACGCCCUGGACUUGUCUGCACCGCAAGCGGCCCUGAGGAGGGACAGCAGGGAGACAAGAAAAUGGACUCCCCUCUGCAACCUGCAAUGUACCAGGGUUUGCAGCCUAUUGGAGGAAAACAACAUCAAGGUCCCGGUUGUUGCUUCUUUCAUCUGUAAUGAUCUCGUCUGUCCUCUGUUGCCCACCUUGCGGCCCUGCUCCAGGACCUUCCCUGGCCACCCCACCCCUAUGGGCCCCUCACUCUUCUGA
rnacentral:lncRNA from 1 species